CCUACGGGUGGCAGCAGUGAGGAAUAUUGGUCAAUGGACGCAAGUCUGAACCAGCCAUGCCGCGUGCAGGAAGACGGCUCUAUGAGUUGUAAACUGCUUUUGUACGAGGGUAAACGCAGAUACGCGUAUCUUUCUGAAAUUAUCGUACGAAUAAGGAUCGGCUAACUCCGUGCCAGCAGCCGCUGUAAUACGGAGGAUUCAAGCGUUAUCCGGAUUUAUUGGGUGUAAUGGGUGCGUAGGCGGUCGGAUAAGUUAGAGGUGAAAUCCCGAGGCUCAACUUCGGACUUGCCUCUGAUACUUUUCGGCUAGAGAGUAGUUGAGGUAGGCGGAAUGUAUGGUGUAGCGGUGAAAUGCUUAGAGAUCAUACAGAACACCGAUUGCGAAGGCAGCUUACCAAGCUACUUCUGACGUUGAGGCACGAAAGCGUGGGGAGCAAACAGGAUUAGAUACCCUUGUAGUC
rnacentral:rRNA from 1 species